CACAUCAAAGCACUCAACACACAAUAUCCAUUGCCAAAAGCAAAGGAAUGCAUGGUUUCAAACUCUUACGUUGUUAAUGUAAUGUCAGUGGCUGAGAUUUUAAAAAAAAAAAUCAGAGGCAAUUUAAAAAAAAUCAUUCUAAUUUCAAAGAAAAGAAAAAAAUUGUCCAAAAUUAUGUUCCAUGAAAACCAUCUCAGGCAUGGCUUGUUUUCUUAUUCACAAUGUGUACAUCGUUGGUUAGUGUCCUACAGCAGGCUACAACCUUGCCAAUCUGUGUGUUCUGGCAAAGAAACGCAUGCCUCAUUAGUCUGCGGUGCCAUUACACUAGACACCAGCAUAGCAGCCAUCUGUUUGAUAUUAACCAGUUUAAAUAUAGCUAAAUCUGGAGCCCGGGUUAUCGAAUAGUAGGUUGGGGUGGCAUGAUUUAAAUCUUUAUUCUAGAUGUGAAAUGUCUAAGGAUUUCAUUGGAUAAUAAUAAAUCCCAUCUCUAGAAUCAAUGUCAAAGGGGAAAAAUAGGCAAUAACUACGCUUUUGUAUUAAAGUGAAAACUAUGUAAAUUUUUAAAACUUAAGGGAGCUGUCGAAACAACACUUUCAUUAUUAAUCACUCAAAUAUCCUAAUACUUAAAAUAGUCUAUUAAAAAUAGCAAUAAAGUAAAAAUAGAAAUUAAGCA
rnacentral:lncRNA from 1 species